rfam:Methylophaga sp. 41_12_T18 BD02T18_scaffold_33, whole genome shotgun sequence.
CUAUUCGCGCCAUCUUCAGGUGCUCUGACAUGAUGUUAGAGUUAAAAGGGAAGUUGGUGCGUCACUAUUAAUGACAACUCCAACACUGCCCCCGCAACGGUAAAUGUUGAAAAAUAAAUCAAUCAGCCACUGUGAUUCAUUCAUGGGAAGGCGAUUUGUUUUUGCGAAAGCGACAACAUGAGUCCGGAGACCUGCCUGAAGUUUCAUGACAAA